rnacentral:lncRNA from 1 species
GCACCAUCAUACAUUUUGAACAUACAUUAAUGUCAACUUGAGUGGGUUUUGUUUGUCUCGUGUUCAUCACUGCCUGAUUCUUAGGCAGAUUGGCACUUUAAAAAUUUCAGGGUUGGUGUAUGUCAGUUGUCUAAGAAUGAAAAGCAAAACUAAACUAAACAACCGAAUGUUUUCGGUCGCAGGUAAGACAUUAUCAACAAUCUUCGUUGAAUGUGAUGAAUAUUUUCAACUUUUCUUACAGCGUAGAGAACCGAUAUAUCAUUGUCAUUAUAAAUUACUUACUUUUC